GACGAACGCUGGCGGCGUGCUUAACACAUGCAAGUCGAACGGAAAGGCCCUGCUUGCAGGGUACUCGAGUGGCGAACGGGUGAGUAACACGUGGGUGAUCUGCCCUGCACUUCGGGAUAAGCCUGGGAAACUGGGUCUAAUACCGGAUAGGAGCCAUUUUUAGUGUGAUGGUUGGAAAGUUUUUUCGGUGUAGGAUGAGCUCGCGGCCUAUCAGCUUGUUGGUGGGGUAAUGGCCUACCAAGGCGGCGACGGGUAGCCGGCCUGAGAGGGUGGACGGCCACAUUGGGACUGGGAUACGGCCCAGACUCCUACGGGAGGCAGCAGUGGGGAAUAUUGAACAAUGGGCGCAAGCCUGAUGCAGCGACGCCGCGUGGGGGAUGACGGCCUUCGGGUUGUAAACUCCUUUCGCUAGGGACGAAGCUUUUUGUGACGGUACCUAGAGAAGAAGCACCGGCUAACUACGUG
rnacentral:rRNA from 1 species